rnacentral:rRNA from 1 species
AAUAGAUACCCUGGUAGUCCACGCCGUAAACGAUGAGUGCUAAGUGUUAGGGGGUUUCCGCCCCUUAGUGCUGCAGCUAACGCAUUAAGCACUCCGCCUGGGGAGUACGGUCGCAAGACUGAAACUCAAAGGAAUUGACGGGGGCCCGCACAAGCGGUGGAGCAUGUGGUUUAAUUCGAAGCAACGCGAAGAACCUUACCAGGUCUUGACAUCCCAUUGACUACUAUGGAGACAUAGUUUUCCCGUUCGGGGACAACGGUGACAGGUGGUGCAUGGUUGUCGUCAGCUCGUGUCGUGAGAUGUUGGGUUAAGUCCCGCAACGAGCGCAACCCUUGUUCUUAGUUGCCAUCAUUUAGUUGGGCACUCUAAGGAGACUGCCGGUGACAAACCGGAGGAAGGUGGGGAUGACGUCAAAUCAUCAUGCCCCUUAUGACCUGGGCUACACACGUGCUACAAUGGACGGUACAAACGGUUGCCAACCCGCGAGGGGGAGCUAAUCCGAUAAAACCGUUCUCAGUUCGGAUUGUAGGCUGCAACUCGCCUACAUGAAC